rnacentral:rRNA from 1 species
GACGAACGCUGGCGGCGUGCCUAAUACAUGCAAGUAGAACGCACAGUUUAUACCGUAGCUUGCUACACCAUAGACUGUGAGUUGCGAACGGGUGAGUAACGCGUAGGUAACCUGCCUGGUAGCGGGGGAUAACUAUUGGAAACGAUAGCUAAUACCGCAUAAUAUUAAUUAUUGCAUGAUACUUAAUUGAAAGGUGCAAUUGCACCACUACCAGAUGGACCUGCGUUGUAUUAGCUAGUAGGUGAGGUAACGGCUCACCUAGGCGACGAUACAUAGCCGACGUGGGAGGGUGAUCGACCACACUGGGAAUGGGACACGGCCCAGACUCCUACGGGAGGCAGCAGUAGGGAAUCUUCGGCAAUGGACGAAAGUCUGACCGAGCAACGCCGGGUGAGUGAAGAAGGUUUUCGGAUCGUAAAGCUCUGUUGUAAGAGAAGAACGGGUGUGAGAGUGGAAAGUUCACGCUGUGACGGUAUCUUACCAGAAAGGGACGGCUAACUACGUG